rnacentral:tRNA from 1 species
UAAAAAGAAGUGUAGGGGAUGCACAAAGAGUUUUGAUCUCUUUAGGUUGGGUUCGAUUCCCUUCUUUUUAA